UACGGGGGGGGCAAGCGUUGUUCGGAAUUACUGGGCGUAAAGGGCUCGUAGGCGGCCAACUAAGUCAGACGUGAAAUCCCCAGGCUUAACCUGGGAACUGCGUCUGAUACUGGAUGGCUUGAGAUUGGGAGAGGGAUGCGGAAUUCCAGGUGUAGCGGUGAAAUGCGUAGAUAUCUGGAGGAACACCGGUGGCGAAGGCGACAUCCUGGACCAACACUGACGCUGAGGAGCGAAAGCCAGGGGAGCAAACGGGG
rnacentral:rRNA from 1 species